rnacentral:rRNA from 1 species
CCUACGGGAGGCAGCAGUGGGGAAUUUUGGACAAUGGGGGCAACCCUGAUCCAGCAAUGCCGCGUGAGUGAAGAAGGCCCUCGGGUUGUAAAGCUCUUUUGUCAGGGAAGAAACGGUCUACUCUAAUACAGUGGGCUAAUGACGGUACCUGAAGAAUAAGCACCGGCUAACUACGUGCCAGCAGCCGCGGUAAUACGUAGGGUGCAAGCGUUAAUCGGAAUUACUGGGCGUAAAGCGUGCGCAGGCGGUUUUAUAAGACAGAGGUGAAAUCCCCGGGCUCAACCUGGGAACUGCCUUUGUGACUGUAAGGCUAGAGUGUGUCAGAGGGGGUAGAAUUCCACGUGUAGCAGUGAAAUGCGUAGAUAUGUGGAGGAAUACCGAUGGCGAAGGCAGCCCCCUGGGAUAACACUGACGCUCAUGCACGAAAGCGUGGGGAGCAAACAGGAUUAGAUACCCUGGUAGUCCACGCCCUAAACGAUGUCUACUAGUUGUCGGGACUUAAUUGUCUUGGUAACGCAGCUACGCGUGAGUAGACCGCCGUCGGGAGGUACGGUCGCGAGAAGUUAAACUAACGAAAGAAGUUAGUACGGCGUGAGACGUCGCCGACGGACGACGACGAGGGAGGAGG